AAUUUUGUUGUUAGGAAACAAGAAGAAGAAAACCUAAACUAAGUUUAGGGAUUCUUACCCGAUGGGGCGCAGAAUCAAAUUCCACCCUCCGGGAGUUAAACCUCUAAAUGUCGGUCCUCUAAUAUGUUCACACAAACCUUGUGUUCAACCCUUAAAUGAAAACCUCCCUUGGUACACUCUCCUUGCUUAGCCAAGCAAAUACAAAGGAAGGGUAUGAGUUUUCUUGGGUUUUUCCUUUUGGGUCAUUAGAGAAAUAAUUUCUCUAACUUUGAUUUAAGAGUAAACACUUCUAAUGUCUCUUGAAUCAAUUAGAAGAAAGGAAGAAGAAGAAGAA
rnacentral:misc_RNA from 1 species